GAUGAACGCUAGCGGCAGGCCUAAUACAUGCCAGUCGAGGGGUAUGGGUUGCUUGCAGCCCGGUGCCCGGCUCACGGGUGCGUAACGCGUAUGCAAUCUACCUUCAUCAGGGGGAUAGCCCGCAGAAAUCAGGUUUAACACCUCCUAACUUUGAGUUCUUGCAUCACAGUUCAAUCAAGUAAUUAUCGGAUUAAGAUGAGCAUGCGUGAGAUUAGUUAGUUGUUGAGGUAACGGCUCACCAAGACCACGAUGUCUAGGGGAUCUGAGAGGAGGAGCCCCGACAGGGGGACUGAGACAAGGACCAGAGUGAUACGGGAGGCAGUAGUAAGGAAGACUGGUCAAGGGGAGAAAGCCUGAACCAGCCAUGCCGCGUGCAGGAAGACGGCCUUAGGGAUUGUAAACUGCUUGUGUACCGGAACAAACGUCCGCUAGCAAGAGAAGCUGAACGUACGGUAAGAAUAAGGAUCGGCUAACUACGUG
rnacentral:rRNA from 1 species